UACGGAGGGUGCGAGCGUUGUCCGGAAUCAUGGGGCGUAAAGGGCGCGUAGGUGGCCCGGUCAGUCUUUGGUGAAAGCGCGGGGCUCAACCCUGCGUCGGCCAGGGAUACUGCCGCGGCUCGAGCACUGUAGAGGCAGGCGGAAUUCCGGGUGUAGCGGUGGAAUGCGUAGAGAUCCGGAAGAACACCCGUGGCGAAAGCGGCUCUCUGGAACGGUACUGACGCUGAGACGCGAAAGCGUGGGGAGCGAACAGG
rnacentral:rRNA from 1 species